rnacentral:rRNA from 1 species
GAUGAACGCUCGCUACAGGCUUAACACAUGCAAGUCGAGGGGAAACGCCAUCGAAAGCUUGCUUUUGAUGGGCGUCGACCGGCGCACGGGUGAGUAACGCGUAUCCAACCUGCCCAUCACUUGGGAAUAACCUUGCGAAAGUAAGACUAAUACCCAAUGACAUCCCACGAAGACAUCUGAAUGGGAUUAAAGAUUUAUCGGUGAUGGAUGGGGAUGCGUCUGAUUAGCUUGUUGGCGGGGUAACGGCCCACCAAGGCAACGAUCAGUAGGGGUUCUGAGAGGAAGGUCCCCCACAUUGGAACUGAGACACGGUCCAAACUCCUACGGGAGGCAGCAGUGAGGAAGAUUGGUCAAUGGGCGAGAGCCUGAACCAGCCAAGUAGCGUGCAGGAUGACGGCCCUAUGGGUUGUAAACUGCUUUUAUAAGGGAAUAAAGUGGGUCUCGUGAGACUUUUUGCAUGUACCUUAUGAAUAAGGACCGGCUAAUUCCGUG